rnacentral:rRNA from 1 species
UGCCAGCCGCCGCGGUAAUACGGAGGGUGCAAGCGUUAAUCGGAAUUACUGGGCGUAAAGCGCGCGUAGGCGGUUUUGUAAGUCGGAUGUGAAAGCCCAGGGCUCAACCCUGGAAUUGCAUUCGAUACUGCAUAACUAGAGUAUGGUAGAGGGAAGUGGAAUUUCCGGUGUAGCGGUGAAAUGCGUAGAUAUCGGAAGGAACACCAGUGGCGAAAGCGACUCACUGGCUCGCAACUGACGCUGAGGCGCGAAAGCUAGGGGAGCAAACAGGAUUAGAUA